UCCGCAGGCGGUCAAUUAAGUCAGAGGUGAAAUACCAUAGCUCAACUAUGGAACUGCCUUUGAUACUGGUUGACUUGAGUCAUAUGGAAGUAGAUAGAAUGUGUAGUGUAGCGGUGAAAUGCAUAGAUAUUACACAGAAUACCGAUUGCGAAGGCAGUCUACUACGUAUGUACUGACGCUGAGGGACGAAAGCGUGGGGAGCGAACAGGAUUAGAUACCCUGGUAGUC
rnacentral:rRNA from 1 species